rnacentral:rRNA from 1 species
CGCACGGGUGAGUAACACGUAUCCAACCUGCCGUCUACUCUUGGACAGCCUUCUGAAAGGAAGAUUAAUACAAGAUGGCAUCAUGAGUCCGCAUGUUCACAUGAUUAAAGGUAUUCCGGUAGACGAUGGGGAUGCGUUCCAUUAGAUAGUAGGCGGGGUAACGGCCCACCUAGUCUUCGAUGGAUAGGGGUUCUGAGAGGAAGGUCCCCCACAUUGGAACUGAGACACGGUCCAAACUCCUACGGAAGGCAGCAG